rfam:Oryza rufipogon genomic scaffold, chr01
GAUUUCAACUGAAAAAGUCAUCAACAACAAAGUUGUAUAACUCAUCAAGAUCUAUAACUUUUAUUUUUAUCAUUUCUUCAUCCGACAAAGUGAUAGUAACAUUGUUCACAAAAUUUACAUAUCUCUGAUAUUUGGUUUUAUAAACUAUAAGAGAGAUAUCUAAAUUUUGUGAAUAAUGUUACUAUCACUUUAUCGGAUGAAGAAAUGACCAAAAUAAAAGUUGUAUGUCUUGAUGAGUUCUACAACUUUUAUGUUCAUGACUUUUUCAAUAGAAAUU